rnacentral:rRNA from 1 species
AGUGAACGCUGGCGGUAGGCCUAACACAUGCAAGUCGAACGGCAGCACAGUAGGAGCUUGCUCUUACGGGUGGCGAGUGGCGGACGGGUGAGGAAUACAUCGGAAUCUACUUUUUCGUGGGGGAUAACGUAGGGAAACUUACGCUAAUACCGCAUACGACCUACGGGUGAAAGCAGGGGAUCUUCGGACCUUGCGCGAUUGAAUGAGCCGAUGUCGGAUUAGCUAGUUGGCGGGGUAAAGGCCCACCAAGGCGACGAUCCGUAGCUGGUCUGAGAGGAUGAUCAGCCACACUGGAACUGAGACACGGUCCAGACUCCUACGGGAGGCAGCAGUGGGGAAUAUUAGACAAUGGGCGCAAGCCUGAUCCAGCCAUACCGCGUGGGUGAAGAAGGCCUUCGGGUUGUAAAGCCCUUUUGUUGGGAAAGAAAAGCAGCAGGUUAAUACCCCGCUGUUCUGACGGUACCCAAAGAAUAAGCACCGGCUAACUUCGUG